UACGAAGGGGGCUAGCGUUGCUCGGAAUCACUGGGCGUAAAGCGCACGUAGGCGGAUUGCUAAGUCAGGGGUGAAAUCCUGGAGCUCAACUCCAGAACUGCCUUUGAUACUGGCGAUCUCGAGUCCGGGAGAGGUGAGUGGAACUGCGAGUGUAGAGGUGAAAAUUCGUAGAUAUUCGCAAGAACACCAGUGGCGAAGGCGGCUCACUGGCCCGGUACUGACGCUGAGGUGCGAAAGCGCGGGGAGCAACAGGG
rnacentral:rRNA from 1 species